GGGGCUGUGGCACAGUGGUUUGAGCCAUGGCCUGUGGUGCCAUCGUUCCAUUUGGGCUCAGGUUUGAGUCCUGGCUGGUCCG
rnacentral:tRNA from 1 species